rnacentral:snRNA from 1 species
GUGCCCCUUUUUGUAGCACAUACACUAAAAAUGGAACAAUACAGAAAAGAUUAGCAUGCCCCC